UACGUAGGGGGCUAGCGUUGUCCGGAAUCAUUGGGCGUAAAGCGCGUGUAGGCGGCCAGGUAGGUCCGCUGUGAAAGUCCGAGGCUCAACCUCGGAAUGUCGGCGGAAACCCUCUGGCUAGAGUCCGGAAGAGGAGAGUGGAAUUCCCGGUGUAGCGGUGAAAUUCGUAGAUAUUCGGAGGAACACCAGUGGCGAAGGCGGCUCACUGGUCCAUUACUGACGCUGAGGUGCGAAAGCGUGGGGAGCGAACAGG
rnacentral:rRNA from 1 species